UAACACGUGGGUAACCUGCCCAUCAGAGGGGGAUAACACUUGGAAACAGGUGCUAAUACCGCAUAAUAGUCGACACCGCAUGGUGUUGAUUUGAAAGACGCUUUCGGGUGUCACUGAUGGAUGGACCCGCGGUGCAUUAGCUAGUUGGUGAGGUAACGGCUCACCAAGGCCAUGAUGCAUAACCGACCUGAGAGGGUGAUCGGCCACACUGGGACUGAGACACGGCCCACACUCCUACGGGAGGCAGCAGUAGGGAAUCUUCGGCAAUGGACGAAAGUCUGACCGAGCAACGCCGCGUGAGUGAAGAAGGUUUUCGGAUCGUAAAACUCUGUUGUUAGAGAAGAACAAGUGGGAGAGUAACUGCUCCCGCCUUGACGGUAUCUAACCAGAAAGCCACGGCUAACUACGUGCCAGCAGCCGCGGUAAUACGUAGGUGGCAAGCGUUGUCCGGAUUUAUUGGGCGUAAAGCGAGCGCAGGCGGUUUCUUAAGUCUGAUGUGAAAGCCCCCGGCUCAACCGGGGAGGGUCAUUGGAAACUGGCAGACUUGAGUGCAGAAGAAGAGAGUGUAAUUCCAUGUGUAGCGGUGAAAUGCGUAUAUAUAUGGAGGAACACCAGUGGCGA
rnacentral:rRNA from 1 species